GCCUUCUACUUCGGAAGGGCCAAUCUCUGCCCCUCACAUAGCUCAUGCUAACUCUGUCCUCCCCACCUUUUUUCCCCACUGGAGUCUCACCCUAGGAAUGUUUUUGCCCUUAACUGCUGUUGAUAUAAAAAUCACUGAUUCUUAGAGGUCCUGGGAAAGUUCAACCUCCAACACAGAUUGCUCUCCAACCAGUGGCUGGGGUGCUAUUGGGACAAGAGACUUCCAGGCUAAGGAUGUUGAAAGACUUUUGAGGUCAUUUUUCAGUUUACAUCUGUGAACAGGCUUAACGCAGAACAUCUCCCUGAAAAUCCUGACUGCUCAUAGGCCAGACCGGUGGAUGCUUCCGCUCACUUACUUGAGUCACUUGGAAGAAAUGGGGACAUCUCCUGCUGGUGAGGUGGAGCACAGACCCUUUCUCAAGGCCGCCUUUGUGAAGGGCUAGGACAAAUGGACUUCAUUUAGUUUAGCAUAAAAAUUUCAGUGUGAGAUAAAAGAAAUAAAAAUUAAACUGUAAAGGAAAAACUAAGAUGUAGCAUUCUCAAAAAUACAAGAGAAUAGUGCUCCUAAUGUAUUUUAAAUGAGCAUUAUAAUUGAAGUAUAGACUCCCAUUCUUCCUUGUUACCUGAUUGAUGGGGUCACAGUCAUUCUUGGUCAUUACCUUCCUAUUUAUUUGUUUGCUUAUUAAAAUGCUACACAUG
ensembl:lincRNA Gm11840 predicted gene 11840